UGUGAAAGUUUUUAUUUAUUUAUAUUGUUAAAAACUAAUGUGUAUGAAGGAAUAACUAGACAAUGAGAUGUGGCAUGCCACAUGUACAUCAUGCUGAUGUAUAAAGACCAAUUUUUAACAGUAAAAUUGGAUAAAAUUUUUAACA
rfam:Gossypium hirsutum cultivar TM-1 chromosome 4, whole genome shotgun sequence